rnacentral:rRNA from 2 species
AAAUUGAAGAGUUUGAUCAUGGCUCAGAUUGAACGCUGGCGGCAGGCCUAACACAUGCAAGUCGAACGGUAACAGGAAGCAGCUUGCUGCUUCGCUGACGAGUGGCGGACGGGUGAGUAAUGUCUGGGAAACUGCCUGAUGGAGGGGGAUAACUACUGGAAACGGUGGCUAAUACCGCAUAACGUCGCAAGACCAAAGAGGGGGACCUUCGGGCCUCUUGCCAUCAGAUGUGCCCAGAUGGGAUUAGCUUGUUGGUGAGGUAACGGCUCACCAAGGCGACGAUCCCUAGCUGGUCUGAGAGGAUGACCAGCCACACUGGAACUGAGACACGGUCCAGACUCCUACGGGAGGCAGCAGUGGGGAAUAUUGCACAAUGGGCGCAAGCCUGAUGCAGCCAUGCCGCGUGUAUGAAGAAGGCCUUCGGGUUGUAAAGUACUUUCAGCGGGGAGGAAGGUGUUGCGGUUAAUAACCGCAGCAAUUGACGUUACCCGCAGAAGAAGCACCGGCUAACUCCGUGCCAGCAGCCGCGGUAAUACGGAGGGUGCAAGCGUUAAUCGGAAUUACUGGGCGUAAAGCGCACGCAGGCGGUCUGUCAAGUCGGAUGUGAAAUCCCCGGGCUCAACCUGG